UACAGAGGGGGCAAGCGUUGUUCGGAAUUACUGGGCGUAAAGGGCGCGUAGGCGGCCUGUUAAGUCGAACGUGAAAUCCCCGGGCUCAACCCGGGAACUGCGUCCGAUACUGGCAGGCUUGAAUUCGGAAGAGGGAUGCGGAAUUCCAGGUGUAGCGGUGAAAUGCGUAGAUAUCAGGAGGAACACCGGUGGCGAAGGCGCUCAUCUGGCCCAAUACUGACGCUGAGGCGCGAAAGCUAGGGGAGCAAACGGG
rnacentral:rRNA from 1 species